GACGAACGCUGGCGGCGUGCCUAAUACAUGCAAGUAGAACGCUGAAGCGAGGAGCUUGCUCUUCUUGGAUGAGUUGCGAACGGGUGAGUAACGCGUAGGUAACCUGCCUUGUAGCGGGGGAUAACUAUUGGAAACGAUAGCUAAUACCGCAUAACAAUGGAUGACACAUGUCAUUUAUUUGAAAGGGGCAAUUGCUCCACUACAAGAUGGACCUGCGUUGUAUUAGCUAGUAGGUGAGGUAACGGCUCACCUAGGCGACGAUACAUAGCCGACCUGAGAGGGUGAUCGGCCACACUGGGACUGAGACACGGCCCAGACUCCUACGGGAGGCAACAGUAGGGAAUCUUCGGCAAUGGGGGCAACCCUGACCGAGCAACGCCGCGUGAGUGAAGAAGGUUUUCGGAUCGUAAAGCUCUGUUGUAAGUCAAGAACGAGUGUGAGAGUGGAAAGUUCACACUGUGACGGUAGCUUACCAGAAAGGGACGGCUAACUACGUG
rnacentral:rRNA from 1 species